CUUAUCAAGAGUGGCGGAGGGACAGGUCCUAUGAAGCCCGGCAACCUGCGUAUUUUAUACACAAGGUGCUAAUUCCUGCGGAGUUUUCCGAGAGAUGAGG
rnacentral:ncRNA from 1 species